rnacentral:rRNA from 1 species
UACGUAGGGCGCAAGCGUUGUCCGGAAUUAUUGGGCGUAAAGAGCUCGUAGGCGGCUUGUCACGUCGGGUGUGAAAGACCGGGGCUUAACCCCGGUUCUGCAUUCGAUACGGGCUGGCUAGAGUGUGGUAGGGGAGAUCGGAAUUCCUGGUGUAGCGGUGAAAUGCGCAGAUAUCAGGAGGAACACCGGUGGCGAAGGCGGGUCUCUGGGCCGAUACUGACGCUGAGGAGCGAAAGCGUGGGGAGCGAACAGG